GAGUUUAACAUGUGCGCGAGUCGUUGGGUUUGUCGAAACCCGGUUGAAAAAGGCGCAAUGAAAGUGAAGGCCUUCCACUUGGGUUGGCUUAGGUAGGAUUCGCCCGCUUGAUUUGGCUAGGCUUGCGUCGGGCGACGCACUACCGGACCGUCUGGUCGGCAAAUUGUCCGAAAGGCGGAUCAUGAGCGUACAUGUUGGGACCCGAAAGAUGGUGAACUAUGCCUGAGUAGGAUGAAGCCAGAGGAAACUCUGGUGGAGGUCCGUAGCGAUUCUGAGCGUGCAAAUCGAUCGUCAAACUCGGGUUUAGGGGCGA
rnacentral:rRNA from 1 species